rnacentral:rRNA from 1 species
AUUGAACGCUGGCGGCAUGCCUUACACAUGCAAGUCGAACGGCAGCACGGGUGCUUGCACCUGGUGGCGAGUGGCGGACGGGUGAGUAAUACAUCGGAACAUGUCCUGUAGUGGGGGAUAGCCCGGCGAAAGCCGGAUUAAUACCGCAUACGAUCUACGGAUGAAAGCGGGGGACCUUCGGGCCUCGCGCUAUAGGGUUGGCCGAUAGCUGAUUAGCUAGUUGGUGGGGUAAAGGCCUACCAAGGCGACGAUCAGUAGCUGGUCUGAGAGGACGACCAGCCACACUGGGACUGAGACACGGCCCAGACUCCUACGGGAGGCAGCAGUGGGGAAUUUUGGACAAUGGGCGAAAGCCUGAUCCAGCAAUGCCGCGUGUGUGAAGAAGGCCUUCGGGUUGUAAAGCACUUUUGUCCGGAAAGAAAUCCUUGGCUCUAAUACAGUCGGGGGAUGACGGUACCGGAAGAAUAAGCACCGGCUAACUACGUG